ACCGUCAAGGCGCCAUUCACCGUGUGCCUUCGAAUAUUUUUUUCAUUAUUUCCAUAUUAUGAUUGAAUGAUAUGAUAAUAUUCGAAGGCACACGGUGAAUGGCGCCUUGACGGUA
rnacentral:pre_miRNA from 1 species